CACGUAGAAGACUAGUGUUAUUCAUCUUUAUUAGGUUUAAAGGGUACCUAGACGGAAAAUCAAGCCAUAAUAGGGACUAAUUUUCUAGAGUUUUAUGAGAGAAGGGGCGAAUUUCCGGAGGAAAGUUGAUAUUUUGUGAUACUGGAAGGACGGGUAACGGCGAAGGCAACCUUUUAUGUAAAAACUGACGUUUGAGGACGAAGCCUUGGGUAACGAGAAGG
rnacentral:rRNA from 1 species